GUAGGUGAACCUGCGGAAGGAUCAUUAUCGUACAACCGAGGUGCGAAGGCUGUCGCUGACCCUCAAAGGUCGUGCACGCCCGAGCGCUCUCACACAAUCCAUCUCACCUUUGUGCAUCACCGCGUGGGUCCCCUUUGCGGGGAGGGCUUGCGUUUUCACAUAAAACUCGAUACAGUGUAGAAUGUUUCUUUUGCGGUCACACGCAAUCAAUACAACUUUCAACAACGGAUCUCUUGGCUCUC
rnacentral:misc_RNA from 1 species